rnacentral:rRNA from 1 species
UACGGAGGGUGCAAGCGUUAUCCGGAUUUAUUGGGCUUAAAGGGUCCGUAGGCGGAUCUGUAAGUCAGUGGUGAAAUCUCACAGCUUAACUGUGAAACUGCCAUUGAUACUGCAGGUCUUGAGUGUUAUUGAAGUAGCUGGAAUAAGUAGUGUAGCGGUGAAAUGCAUAGAUAUUACUUAGAACACCAAUUGCGAAGGCAGGUUACUAAGCAACAACUGACGCUGAUGGACGAAAGCGUGGGGAGCGAACAGG